GACGAACGCUGGCGGCGCGCCUAACACAUGCAAGUCGAACGGAGUCACGAGGAGCUUGCUUUUCUUGACUUAGUGGCGAACGGGUGAGUAACGCGUGAGUAACCUGCCCUGGAGUGGGGGACAACAGUUGGAAACGACUGCUAAUACCGCAUAAGCCCACGGAUCCGCAUGGAUCUGCGGGAAAAGGAUUUAUUCGCUUCAGGAUGGACUCGCGUCCAAUUAGCUAGUUGGUGAGGUAACGGCCCACCAAGGCGACGAUUGGUAGCCGGACUGAGAGGUUGAACCGCCACAUUGGGACUGAGACACGGCCCAGACUCCUACGGGAGGCAGCAGUGAGGGAUAUUGCACAAUGGGGGAAACCCUGAUGCAGCGACGCCGCGUGGAGGAAGAAGGUUUUCGGAUUGUAAACUCCUGUCGUUAGGGACGAUAAUGACGGUACCUAACAAGAAAGCACCGGCUAACUACGUG
rnacentral:rRNA from 1 species